UACGAAGGGGGCUAGCGUUGCUCGGAAUCACUGGGCGUAAAGGGUGCGUAGGCGGGUCUUUUAAGUCAGAGGUGAAAUCCUGGAGCUCAACUCCAGAACUGCCUUUGAUACUGAGGAUCUUGAGUUCGGGAGAGGUGAGUGGAACUGCGAGUGUAGAGGUGAAAUUCGUAGAUAUUCGCAAGAACACCAGUGGCGAAGGCGGCUCACUGGCCCGAUACUGACUCUGAGGCACGAAAGCGUGGGGAGCAACAGG
rnacentral:rRNA from 1 species